GACGAACGCUGGCGGCGCGCCUAAUACAUGCGAGUUGAGCGCUGAAGGUUGGUACUUGUACCGACUGGAUGAGCAGCGAACGGGUGAGUAACGCGUGGGGAAUCUGCCUUUGAGCGGGGGACAACAUUUGGAAACGAAUGCUAAUACCGCAUAAAAACUUUAAACACAAGUUUUAAGUUUGAAAGAUGCAAUUGCAUCACUCAAAGAUGAUCCCGCGUUGUAUUAGCUAGUUGGUGAGGUAAAGGCUCACCAAGGCGAUGAUACAUAGCCGACCUGAGAGGGUGAGCGGCCACAUUGGGACUGAGACACGGCCCAAACUCCUACGGGAGGCAGCAGUAGGGAAUCUUCGGCAAUGGACGAAAGUCUGACCGAGCAACGCCGCGUGAGUGAAGAAGGUUUUCGGAUCGUAAAACUCUGUUGGUAGAGAAGAACGUUGGUGAGAGUGGAAAGCUCAUCAAGUGACGGUAACUACCCAGAAAGGGACGGCUAACUACGUG
rnacentral:rRNA from 1 species